rnacentral:lncRNA from 1 species
UAAAGAAGAAGUCAAGUAAGUUAACGAGAGCAGUAUGGAAAUUCCGAUGCGAUGACUGAACAACGGACGGAGGCGACGGUGAACUGUGAAUGCGGAAGCUGCUAUUUGAUUUGUUAAGAUUUUGAAGAGAAAGAAUAAAAUUGAGCUACCAAGAAGCAACGCUAGCCGCUAGGGCAAAUGGUGCAGUUGAGUUAGUUGAGUCCAAGUUGUUUCAAUUAACGCG